CCUACGGGAGGCAGCAGUGAGGAAUAUUGGUCAAUGGGCGCUAGCCUGAACCAGCCAAGUAGCGUGCAGGAUGACUGCCCUAUGGGUUGUAAACUUCUUUUAUAUGGGAAUAAAGUGCAUUAUGUAUACUGCUUUGCAUGUACCUCAUGAAUAAGGAUCGGCUAAUUCCGUGCCAGCAGCCGCGGUAAUACGGAGGAUCCGAGCGUUAUCCGGAUUUAUUGGGUUUAAAGGGAGCGUAGGCGGGUUGUUAAGUCAGUUGUGAAAGUUUGCGGCUCAACCGUCAAAUUGCAGUUGAUACUGGCAGCCUUGAGUACAGUAGAGGUAGGCGGAAUGCGUGGUGUAGCGGUGAAAUGCUUAGAUAUCACGAAGAACUCCGAUUGCGAAGGCAGCCUGCUGGACUGUAACUGACGCUGAGGCUCGAAGGUGUGGGUAUCAAACAGGAUUAGAUACCCGAGUAGUC
rnacentral:rRNA from 1 species